UAUGACUCUCGGCAAUGGAUAUCUUGGCUCUUGCAUCGAUGAAGAGCGCAGCGAAAUGCGAUACGUGGUGUGAAUUGCAGAAUCCCGUGAACCAUCAAAUCUUUGAACGCAAGUUGCGCCCGAGGCCAAUUGGCUAAGGGCACGUCCGCCUGGGCGUCAAGCAUU
rnacentral:rRNA from 2 species